rnacentral:rRNA from 1 species
UACGUAGGGUGCGAGCGUUAAUCGGAAUUACUGGGCGUAAAGCGUGCGCAGGCGGUUGUGUAAGACAGGCGUGAAAUCCCCGGGCUCAACCUGGGAACUGCGCUUGUGACUGCACAGCUAGAGUACGGCAGAGGGGGGUGGAAUUCCACGUGUAGCAGUGAAAUGCGUAGAGAUGUGGAGGAACACCGAUGGCGAAGGCAGCCCCCUGGGCCGAUACUGACGCUCAUGCACGAAAGCGUGGGUAGCAAACAGGAUUAGAUACCCUGGUAGUCCACGCCCUAAACGAUGUCAACUAGGUGUUGGGUGGGUAAAACCAUUUAGUACCGUAGCUAACGCGUGAAGUUGACCGCCUGGGGAGUACGGCCGCAAGGUUAAAACUCAAAGGAAUUGACGGGGACCCGCACAAGCGGUGGAUGAUGUGGAUUAAUUCGAUGCAACGCGAAAAACCUUACCUACCCUUGACAUGUCCAGAAGCCCGGAGAGAUUUGGGUGUGCCCGAAAGGGAACUGGAACACAGGUGCUGCAUGGCUGUCGUCAGCUCGUGUCGUGAGAUGUUGGGUUAAGUCCCGCAACGAGCGCAACCCUUGUCGUUAAUUGCCAUCAUUUAGUUGGGCACUUUAACGAGACUGCCGGUGACAAACCGGAGGAAGGUGGGGAUGACGUCAAGUCCUCAUGGCCCUUAUGGGUAGGGCUUCACACGUCAUACAAUGGUCGGUACAGAGGGUUGCCAAGCCGCGAGGUGGAGCCAAUCCCAGAAAGCCGAUCGUAGUCCGGAUUGCAGGCUGCAACUCGCCUGCAUGAAGUCGGAAUCGCUAGUAAUCGCGGAUCAGCAUGUCGCGGUGAAUACGUUCCCGGGUCU